rnacentral:rRNA from 1 species
UAGCGGGGGAUAACCUAUCGAAAGAUGGACUAAUACCGCAUACGAUCUACGGAUGAAAGCAGGGGACCGCAAGGCCUUGCACUAUUGGAGUGGCCGAUGUCGGAUUAGCUAGUUGGUGAGGUAAAGGCUUACCAAGGCGACGAUCCGUAGCUGGUCUGAGAGGACGAUCAGCCACACUGGAACUGAGACACGGUCCAGACUCCUACGGGAGGCAGCAGUGGGGAAUUUUGGACAAUGGGCGCAAGCCUGAUCCAGCCAUGCCGCGUGAGUGAAGAAGGCCUUCGGGUUGUAAAGCUCUUUCGGUGAAGACGAAACGGUUAGCGCUAAUAACGCUGACUAAUGACGGUACUCACAGAAGAAGCACCGGCUAACUACGUGCCAGCAGCCGCGGUAAUACGUAGGGUGCAGGCGUUAAUCGGAAUUACUGGGCGUAAAGCGUGCGCGCCGGUUUGCUAAGACAGGUGUGAAAUCCCCGAGCUUAACUUGGGAAUUGCGCUUGUAACUGGCAAGCUAGAGUGUGGCAGAGGGGGGUGGAAUUCCACGUGUAGCAGUGAAAUGCGUAGAUAUGUGGAGGAACACCGAUGGCGAAGGCAGCCCCCUGGGUUAACACUGACGCUCAUGCACGAAAGCGUGGGGAGCAAACAGGAUUAGAUACCCUGGUAGUCCACGCCCUAAACUAUGUCAACUAGUUGUCGGGGAAGAAAUUCCUUGGUAACGAAGCUAACGCGUGAAGUUGACCGCCUGGGGAGUACGGCCGCAAGGUUAAAACUCAAAGGAAUUGACGGGGACCCGCACAAGCGGUGGAUUAUGUGGAUUAAUUCGAUGCAACGCGAAAAACCUUACCUACCCUUGACAUGCUAGGAAGCCCGCAGAGAUGUGGGUGUGCCCGAAAGGGAACCUAGACACAGGUGCUGCAUGGCUGUCGUCAGCUCGUGUCGUGAGAUGUUGGGUUAAGUCCCGCAACGAGCGCAACCCUUGCCAUUAGUUGCUACAUUCAGUUGGGCACUCUAAUGGGACCGCCGGUGACAAACCGGAGGAAGGUGGGGAUGACGUCAAGUCCUCAUGGCCCUUAUGGGUAGGGCUUCACACGUAAUACAAUGGUCGGUACAGAGGGCUGCCAACCCGCAAGGGGGAGCUAAUCCCAGAAAGCCGAUCGUAGUCCGGAUUGUAGUCUGCAACUCGACUGCAUGAAGCCGGAAUCGCUAGUAAUCGCGGAUCAGCAUGUCGCGGUGAAUACGUUCCCGGGUCUUGUACACACCGCCCGUCACACCAUGGGAGUGGGUUCCACCAGAAGUAGUUAGCCUAACCGCAAGGAGGGCGAUUACCACGGUGAGAUUCAUGACUGGGGUGAAGUCGGAACAAGGUA